rnacentral:rRNA from 1 species
GAUGAACGCUAGCGGCAGGCCUAACACAUGCAAGUCGAGGGAGAACCCCUUUCGGGGGCAGUCACCGGCGCACGGGUUCGUAACGCGUUUGCAACCUACCUUUCACAGGGUGUUACCCCGGGGAAAUUUUGAUUAAUACCCCAUAAUAUUCUUGUAUGGCAUCCUUUUAUAAUUAAAACUUCUGUGGUCCAAGCUGGGCAUGCUUCCGAUUAGCUAGUUGGAGUGGUAACCGCACCGCAAGGCUACGAUAGGUAGGUGUCCUGAGAGGGAGAUCCCCCACACUGGUACUGAGACAGGGACCAGAAUGCUACGGGAGGCAGCAGAGAGGAAGAUUAGUCAAUGGUCGGAAGACUGAACCAGCCACGUGGGGGGCAGGAAGAAUGCCUUAGGGGAUGUAAACUGUUGGGAUAUAGGAAGAAUAAGGCGUAAGUGUACGGUGAUGACGGUACCAUAUGAAUAAGCAUCGGCUAACUCCGUG